rnacentral:rRNA from 1 species
CACUCCUACGGGAGGCAGCAGUGGGGAAUUUUGGACAAUGGGCGCAAGCCUGAUCCAGCCAUGCCGCGUGCGGGAAGAAGGCCUUCGGGUUGUAAACCGCUUUUGUCAGGGAAGAAAAGGUUCUGGCUAAUACCUGGGACUCAUGACGGUACCUGAAGAAUAAGCACCGGCUAACUACGUGCCAGCAGCCGCGGUAAUACGUAGGGUGCAAGCGUUAAUCGGAAUUACUGGGCGUAAAGCGUGCGCAGGCGGUUAUGCAAGACAGAGGUGAAAUCCCCGGGCUCAACCUGGGAACUGCCUUUGUGACUGCAUGGCUAGAGUACGGUAGAGGGGGAUGGAAUUCCGCGUGUAGCAGUGAAAUGCGUAGAUAUGCGGAGGAACACCGAUGGCGAAGGCAAUCCCCUGGACCUGUACUGACGCUCAUGCACGAAAGCGUGGGGAGCAAACAGGAUUAGAAACCCGAGUAGUCC